rnacentral:rRNA from 1 species
CGGACUGCAGUCUGCAACUCGACUGCACGAAGCUGGAAUCGCUAGUAAUCGCGGAUCAGCACGCCGCGGUGAAUACGUUCCCGGGCCUUGUACACACCGCCCGUCACACCAUGGAAGUCUGCAAUGCCCGAAGCCGGUGGCCUAACCACUUAUGUGGAAGGAGCCGUCUAAGGCAGGGCAGAUGACUGGGGUGAAGUCGUAACAAGGUACC